UACGUAGGUGGCGAGCGUUAUCCGGAAUUACUGGGCGUAAAGGGCGCGUAGGCGGCUUAUCAAGUCAGGCGUGAAAUUCCCGGGCUCAACCUGGGGACUGCGCUUGAUACGGCGGGGCUUGAGGGCAGGAGAGGCUCGCGGAAUUCCCAGUGUAGAGGUGAAAUUCGUAGAUAUUGGGAAGAACACCGAUGGCGAAGGCAGCCAUCUGGACCGACACUGACGCUGAGGCGCGAAAGCGUGGGGAGCGAACAGG
rnacentral:rRNA from 1 species